GAAAAAACCCAAACCCAAUAUCUACACAAUCCAUUCUACUCGCCGGCCUCCACAUUUGGUUCAGCUUGGUCCGCAUGUAUAGGAGGCUGUUUGUUCUUCCAACAAGCUUGACUAUAAUAGAUUUAGACCAGGGGCCUCUAAUGCGCCGUUUUCACCAUCAGAAUCAACAUCUUCCUCCAUAAGGCUAUCAAAAUCAAAAGCUUCCACAUAAGCCCCUGGCAUUUCACUCACGAGCUUCUCCUUAAAAGAGGCUCUGGCAAAAGACUCAAGAGUUAUGAAGCCCCGAGGAUGGAGAGCUCUCCCUUGGGCCCACAUUAAACUCGACGUGAUGGAGGUCUUUAACCUUCUUGUCACUCCAAGCAAGCUCUGCUUCUUCCUCCCUAGAGAGCGUGCGUGGUUUCAUGUCCUAGAGAGCGUAACUUGGUUAAUGUCCUAGAGAGCUCUCAGUAGAGAACACUGUAGCGUUUUUGGGUAGAAUAUGCAAAGGCUGCUUCAUGCUUCCAAAGUCUUAAGACUUUUUGUUUUUUCCCAUUCCCUCGUCCCAACUUCAAGUCCAGAUUCAUUUCUUUGUCGCCCUCAUACACUCUCAAUAUAUCACUCUUCCAAAAAGUCUCCCUCUACUCUCUGUCUACUUCUCUUACCUCACCAACAUGGCCGAGUCUACCACCACCACUACCACUCGUCCUCUCAAAAUCAUAGCCGGAGCCGACUCCUUCGGCUGCACUCUCAAAGACACCUUGGUCUCCCAUCUCCGUUCCCUCAACAUCGAAGUAGAAGACCUCGGUACCUCCUCCUACUACACCAUCGCCGCCGAAGUUGGCCGCCAAGUCUCCGAGUCUUUCACCACCCCCGCCGCCACAGAAACCCGUGGCCUCGUCGCCUGUGGCACAGGCGUUGGUGUUGCUAUCUUCGCCAACAAAUUCCCAUACGUUUCUGCAGCCACUUGUCUCACUCCUGAAGAAGCUCUCAACGCUCGCUUCAUCAACAACUCCAAUGUCCUCGCAGUCUCAGGCAUGUCCACUUCACCCUCCACCGCCGUUGAUAUCCUCAACACUUGGCUCAACACUCCUUUCAAUAUAGAGUCUUUUCUUGACAACUCUACGCCCACCAUUGGACCUGGUUCUUCUCAGUCUUAUGAAUCUGCAAAAUGUGCUAUUUGUUGUUUGGUGAAGAAUAGGAAAUUGAAUCCGAUCGAUAUAAUCCCAGGUGGGUCUAUGAAGAUUUUGAGAGAGACUCCCACAUCGGCUAUUGUGAGGUUUAAAGCUGGGAGUGUGGAGCCGGCUCAUCAUCAUACUUUUGGGCAUGAUUUGGUGGUGAUGGAGGGGAAGAAGAGUGUGUGGAAUUUGAGCAAAAAGGAGAGGUAUGAUUUGGGUGUUGGGGAUUUUUUGUUUACUCCAGCUGGGGAUGUGCAUAGAGUGAAGUAUUAUGAGGAUACUGAGUUUUUCAUCAGGUGGGAUGGGAAAUGGGAUAUGUUCUUUGAUGAGGACCUUGAGACUGCUAAGGCUGCUGUUGAGAAAGAAUUGGGAAAUGGGGCUGUGUGAAAAUGAAUCAGUAUGUGUGUAAAAGAUAUUAAUGGGGUUGAAAUAUUGUGCUGCUACUUAGUGCUAUUAAGAAGGAAUUGGGAAAUGGGUCUGCGAGAAAAUGAAUCAAUAUGGUUUCUAUGUAUGUGUUUCUAAGAUGUUUAUAGGGUUGAGUAUUGUGCUACUGAGGAGGAAUCCAGUUCUGGGUCUCCAUAAUAAAGAAGAGCCCAAUGCAUAAAUACGAAGCAGUACUGACAGGGCAAUUAGCAUAAUAGUCUUAUUUUUGCUGGAGCAUAGUUACCACCUCAAUUUGUUUGGACAAUCUGGUCUACUUGUGAACUCAUCUCCAAACAAGGGUUGAAAGGAUUUUUUUUUGUUUUUGUUAGAAUAGAUAGAAGUUGGGUUGGAAUGAUUUGGUGGCUGAACAUGUUUGUCUCCACCAACACCAAAAUGAAAUCCCUUCACAUUGCAUUAGUGCCAUACAUGUAUUUGAUUAGAUGUUAGUAACAUUUUUUUUUCAUACCAGUGGCAGCACUUCGCCACUUCCUCCACCCCAAUCUGAGUGUUGACCCAUUUCCACACCUCCAUCUUCCCCACCCCUCCCAUUUGUUUCCACCAACACUAAAAUGGAAUUCCUUCACAUUGCAUUAGUGCCAUACACAUUGGUUAGUUGUUAGUAGCAAUUUUUUUUCAUACUAGUGGCAGUGCUUUGCCGCUUCCUCCACCCCAGUCCCAGUGUUGACCCAAUUCCCCACCCCCAUCUUCCUCAGCCACCCACUUCUUAUAAAGUUGCUUAAUUUUCCCAGCAGUUCAACAACCAUUGCUUCUUUAUCAUGUCUUCCUUCCCCUUAGUUCCUGUUCUUCUGGCAACCCAUUAAUCUCAGAAUAUAUUCACUCCCAUGUUUGUUAUUAAAUUUUUUUUUUCAGUCCAAAAACCAUUGGUGGUCCAAACCUGAUGGUUAGAUGUUUUAUAUAUCUAACUUUUGUAGCACAGUGAUUAAGGUCAACUAAGCAUUGCCAUGCUGCUGAAAUGUACAAGCUGUGAGAUGUAAGGUGACAUUUUAGACUUUAUGGUAGUUGUUGAGUUUGACUUAACUCUGUCUUAUCAAAUUCUAAAAGUAUACUCUAUGGUCUUUGAUUCUAGCU